rnacentral:rRNA from 1 species
CCCAAGGGUUGGGCUGUUCGCCCAUUAAAGUGGUACGCGAGCUGGGUUCAGAACGUCGUGAGACCGUUCGGUCCCUAUCCGUCGCAGGCGUAGGAAAUUUGAGAAGACCUGUCCUUAGUACGAGAGGACCGGGAUGGACGUUCCUCUGGUGUACCAGUUGUUCUGCCAAGGGCAUGGCUGGGUAGCUAUGUACGGAAUGGAUAAGCG